AUCAACGCUGGCGGCGUGCCUAACACAUGCAAGUCGCGCGCGAAAGGGGGGCAACCCCCAAGUAGAGCGGCGGACGGGUGAGUAACGCGUGGGUGAUCUUCCUUCGAGUGGGGAAUAACACCGGGAAACUGGUGCUAAUACCGCAUGACAUCCCUGGUUCAUUCCAGGGAUCAAAGCCGGGGACCGCAAGGCCUGGCGCUUGAAGAUGAGCCCGCGUCCGAUUAGCUAGUUGGCGGGGUAACGGCCCACCAAGGCUCCGAUCGGUAGCCGGCCUGAGAGGGCGGACGGCCACACUGGGACUGAGACACGGCCCAGACUCCUACGGGAGGCAGCAGUGGGGAAUUUUUCGCAAUGGGGGAAACCCUGACGAAGCAACGCCGCGUGGAGGAUGAAGGCCUUCGGGUCGUAAACUCCUGUCGACUGGGAAGAAUGCACCUGACCUAAUACGUCGGCGUGUUGACUGUACCGGUGGAGGAAGCCACGGCUAACUCUGUGCC
rnacentral:rRNA from 1 species